GUAACUAAAUACUUUAUUUACUGUUAUUGGGAUGGGUUGCAGAUCUGCAAUUUACUGAGUCUCCUAAAUCUCUCCUUCAUUAAGUAUUGUAGCUCCUCAAUUCAUUUUGGAAAGCCUCUGAAGAGUCUGACUGAUAUCAUCAAGCCUGCUAUUUCUUCAGUGAUGCCUUGAAGAGGAGAUGUGGUACAAGCACCUUGGUGAGAAAAAAUGGUUGAAGACGGUCUGGUUGUGAAUUAACAGAUGAAUCCAUGACCGUCUGCUUUUGACCCAGAGCAGUGCUGCUGUGUUAUAGCUCCCAAAUGAAGAUGAAAUGUGAAGUCUAUCUUAAGGGUUGAUGGGCUGGAUACAUUGCAGAUGUUAACACAAGGCAUUCCACCGUCUGUCACUCCAUAACUUUUGAGCUCUUUUUAUAUACUGAAGAGAGCAGAAGAGAUCUUUCUUUAUGUUUUUUUAAAACAAAUGUUUCUUUGUGCCACAAAGCAAUCCAGCAAAUUUUAGACAAAAUUAAAGUUGAUGCUACACCAUGUGAAACAGACUGGACUGGACUCUUCCCCAAUCAGCAGCCACCAUAUGGAAGCAGAUAAUUGUGAAAUGUAAUCACUACUGAAUGUUGAAAUUUGGCACUUAAUUUAUAGCAUCAAAGUAUUUAACUCUAUCUGAAUUGAUGUGGUCUGA